GGGGCUGUAGCUCAGUGGGAGAGUGCUUCCUUCGCAAGGAAGAAGUCGAGGGUUCAAAUCCCUUCAGCUCCACCA
rnacentral:tRNA from 1 species